rnacentral:rRNA from 1 species
GACGAACGCUGGCGGCAUGCUUAACACAUGCAAGUCGAACGGACGACCCAUGACGGAUUCUUCGGAUGACGGAUUGGGAAGUUAGUGGCGGACGGGUGAGUAACGCGUGGGUAACCUGCCCUUUAAAUUGGGACAACAGUUGGAAACGACUGCUAAUACCGAAUGUGACGAUUGAGAGGCAUCUCUUGAUCGGGAAAGAUGGCUGAGCUUGAUGCUAUCGUUAAAGGAUGGACCCGCGUCUGAUUAGCUAGUUGGUAGGGUAGUGGCCUACCAAGGCGACGAUCAGUAGCCGGCCUGAGAGGGUGAACGGCCACAUUGGGACUGAGACACGGCCCAAACUCCUACGGGAGGCAGCAGCGGGGAAUAUUGCACAAUGGGGGAAACCCUGAUGCAGCGACGCCGCGUGAGUGAAGAAGUAUUUCGGUAUGUAAAGCUCUAUCAGCAAGGAAGAAAAUGACGGUACUUGACUAAGAAGCCCCGGCUAACUACGUGCCAG